GCAACGGGUAACUUUUGCAAACAUAAAAACUACAAAUUACUUAAAAUGGAGAGCAAAAUCAACAUUCAACUUAGGUAACUCUGAACACAAGCUUGUAAACAAAACUUUAGUGCAAAUUAGUGGCACAAAACAAUUUUGCCACUUACGCAUGUAAAGGAUUUUUUUUUCUGUAUUUUUUUUCCCUCUGUAUACAAAGAUUAACUGAAGGCAUUCGGAAGUUGUUUGUGAAACUAUUAACUGAAAAAGCCAGAAAUGUUACUUAUAAUAACAUUUAUAGUGCAAAAACUGCAAUUAUAAAAGACAUCAGAAAACGUUCACUGAACCUGAGAGUAACUGAAGCAGUAUGAAAUAAAGCAAUAUAAAUUAAAUAGUAAAUUUAGAUGUCACAAUGGUGCAAAGUACUGCUUUAAAUUUUCUUAAAUAACACAAAAUAUAAACACACUGAUAUUUAAAUAAAAACUUCAAGCAUAGGUAACUUUUGCAAACAUAGAAAACACAAAGUACUUAAAAUGAAGCGCAAAAUCAACAAUAAACUUGAGAAUUGGACUGAAUACAAGCCGUAAACAAGAUUAGUGCAGAUUAGUGGCACACUACAAUUUUGCCACCUAUGAUGUUACGGAUUUCAAGUUCCAUAGCUUUCUUCUCUGUAAACAAAGAUUAACAAUUGCAACAUCUGUGCGUAUGUGCGCACUAAAUCAAACAGUGAGCAGCAUUUAGUUUAUGAUAGGUUUAUGGCCAGGAAAACAAGCCUGUCCACAUUCUCUGGCUUCAGUGCCGCCCGGUGGCAUGUAACAACAUUACCACCAGUACUAAAUGCCCUUUCAGACGGGGCACUGGUAGCUGGGAUGCAGAAGUACUUGCGAGCCAGGCUUGCCACCCUUGGAAAAAUGGCCUGAUGCAGCUUCCACCACUCUAGUGGGUCUUCCUCUCCAUCCACAGCUAUUGCCUGCAGGUAACUUUGUACUUCUAAAUCAAUGGUCUCUCUGUCAGCCAAAGCAGCUGGGCCAGGAAUGGAUGGCUUUUUGAAAAAGCUGCCCAGAGUGCGCUUAACUUUCCUAGGUUGUCCAACUUCUUCAUCUGCACAGGCAGCAUGUGGAGGUGAAUCGGUGGAGGAUGCUGCUGGAUUUUCUCUUUCCAAAAGGGCUUGGAUUGCAGCCACUGCCUUAGUCUUUAUGUAGUCUUUUCGGUUGUCAGCAAUGCAUGACAUCUUGAAUCGUGGAUCCACAAAGGACGCAAUAUCUAACAGGUCCUCCGUGCCACGGUCAGAGUACUUCUCAUUUAAGUACUGGAGGAUGGUCUUCUUCAUAUUCUUGGUCAGUUCUGUGUCAUUCUCGUCAGCAGACAGAACACUGUUAUUCAAAAGAUGAAGCACAGGUUUGAGGUAGGACACGCUGAUGUAUUCUUCACUUGACAGGGCAUCAGUGAAUUCAACCAGAGGACUCAGGGCCUUAUUCACUGACUCCAAGACAUCUAGGUCCUGCCAAGUAGGUACCAGGUGCCUGUUUUUUUUCUCUGCUUUUAGAACCUGAGAUAUUGCCUUCUCCUGCUCCAGCACUCGUUCUAUCAUCUGUUGCCAUGAACCCCAUCUUGUCGGUGUCUCUGUGAUGAGGCGGUGAGGAGGCAGAUGGAGUUCAGCCUGGGCUUUGGCCAUUGCUUUCUUUCUUUUACGAGUGUACGAAAAUGCACUUACAAUUUUCUUGCAGACCCCAACUGCCCGCUCAAUCCGGGGCUCUUUGACACUCGACUCUGUUGAAAAAGUAGACAAAAAUAAAUUAUUAGACCAGCAGCCCUAAUGACAAAACACUUGUAAAUUCUACAGCAGGCCUACAUCAAGACAUGGAUCUAAUUAAAAGCAUAGUAUAACACCAGAGCAAACAAAAUAUUAAGGAGAUGACAGUAACAUCAUACAGUUGUGCUCAUAAGUUUACAUACCCUGGUGGAAUUUUUAAAUUUUUGGCCAGCUUUCAGAGAAUAUAAAUAAUAACCCAAGACUUUCUUUUCACUCAUGGUUAGUGAUUUUGUGAAGCCAUUUAUUGUCAAACAAUUGUGUUUACUCUUUUCAAAUCAUAAUGACAACAGAAACUACCCAAAACCCAAUCAGGAAUUCUGCCAGGGUAUGUAAACUUAUGAGCGCAACUGUACCUGUGUUAUCAAAUCUACAGGAGAGAAUUACCCCAGAGGAAAAAAAAGACAGCUUUACCAUAGGUAGCAGGCAGUAGCUUGCUAUUAAUCUAUGAAAAAUAUAAACUUACCGAUAGCAAGUUGAAGCCUAUGUCUGAAGCACUGAAGUCGUGUCCAAUCAUUGAGCCCCACUGCUUCGACAACAUUGGCACCGUUGUCAGUGGUGAUGCAGACUUGUAACUUUUCGUCAAGUCCCCAUGCGUCCAGCGCCUCUCUCAGUCCCUUGGCAAUCAACUCCCCCGUAUGAUCGUCCGGGAAAUACGAAGUUUGCAGGCAUUAGCUGCGCAACUUCCACUCAUCGUCAAUAUAAUGAAUUGUAAGGCUAAGAUAAGGGUCCAUUGUGCGACUCGACCAUAAGUCUAUGGUGGUUGCGUAGUGUUUCAUAGCGUGGAGCUCCGUUUCUACUUUUUCACGGACCUCCGCAUGUAGUUUUGGUAUUUCAACAUCACUGAAAUAUUUGCGGCCUGGUACCACGUAUCGUGAAUCAAAAGUCUUGGCCAUGCCUAAAAAGCCGCUUCCCUCUACGGCCCAGAAAGGCAACAUGUCUUUGCACAAAAAAAUGAGAGGCAUCUGGCUGCAGACCUCCACUGUGAGGUCGCUUCCGGUGCAGACCUCCACUGUCAGGACGGGAAGUAACCAUAAGCGUCCGGUAGGUGGCCGUAACGCACCUGAAGUUGGUUUACUAACCGCUAAAUAAAUCAAAAGAAGAAGCCAUUUCACGCGAGUGAUCGUCUGUAUCGUUUGGCGUUUACGAAUGCCCUUUACACCAUAUUGGAUGCUCCCUAUGAGUUUACCAUUAUGGACAUGCCACUUUUGCAGCAGUGGUGGUGUAUCGUCCUGAUGGAAAACUUUGACCUUGGAAGCCAUGGAAAGCUGUUCGCUCACUGGACAGAUACAUCAAAAGCCCUCCUGUGAGGUGAGGUGUCACCAGUGUUUAGGCUGAAGAAAAGAAGGGUGGAUGACAUUACUACGGAAGAAGAGCAGCAAGCUGAGGUUUCAGUCAGACCUGCUGAUGUGAGCACACCAGUGGAAGGGGACUCGGUUGAAGUGCGUAUUCUGCAUGAUUGCAGACAUGCAGCCGAGUGGGUUGAGGCCAAUAAGACACUCUUCUCUGCCAGAGUGGACCUGCCUGAUGUUCUACACAUGGGGGAGGAGGAACAGGCUGAGGCUGCUCUGCAGUAUAAAAGACAUGGAUGAGCAGGAAAGGGAAGAAGUCCUGGAGGUCUUCAAAUUCACAUUCUACAACAUUGAGGACGUGGAAAUUUUGUGACAUAGUAGUGGACGAAAACAAUUAUUUGGCAUACUGUGAAUGUCACAAAGAUGAAUAAUUGAAGGAUAACAGAACAUUUGAUCAUGUUGUGACUUUGUGUGUUCAUGUUUUGUUUUCUCAUUGAGCACUUAAUAAUUCACUUGAACUACACUGUAGAUCUCAAGAGUUUGGGUAGUAGUUGGUGGUAUUUAGGUGCUCCAGCAGCACAAGAACAUACACACGUGGACAAAAUUGUUGGUACCCCUCAGUUAAAGAAGGAAAAACCCACAAUUCUCACUGAAAUCACUUGAAACUCACAAAAGUAACAAUAAAUAAAAAUUUAUUGAAAAUUAAAUAAUCAAAA